UUGUGCUGAUCAAUCAGGAGGUGCUGAAGACAAUGACAUCAAGAAUGCCAGGUUGCCACCAUGGUGGCUUUGCACUCUAUGAACUGUUGCUUCAACGUCUCAAGAGCACUAAUGGAACGCCUUUAACAUCGACCUAAGAGGAACGAACUUGAACUUACGAUUUUGUAUGUUGGAUAAGUGAACUCAGUUGCUCAUUAGCAAUUUGACAAUGUACUAAUGGUAUUAAGCGCCGGGAUGUUAUGUUAUUACUUAACUUUCUAGCAAAUUUGCACUAUUUGUUUACAUGAUGAUUCGUAAGCUUAUUAUAUAUCUGAGCACGGAUACCAUUUGUAUUGAAGGUAAGAGGGUCCUCUGUUCAUAUAACUAACCAAACGAGAUUCUUUCAUUUCAUUUUAAUUAGACACAUUGACGAUAAGGGUUCCAUAAAAGCUACAACAAGGAUAACAAAAUCGUUCAAAAUCUCGCACAAAACCACAUGGAUCCAGGCUUCUAAGUUCUAACCAGCUUUGGAAGAAGCUCCUUGGCUUUGUUGGAAGUUCUUCCUAAAAAAUGCAGACAAACUAGCCGUAGCAGCACGACCGUUCUCUACACACAGGAAGUAGUCGUCCACUGAAACAAAACAAAAACAGAAGCGAGAUGUUAUUAGAUUAUGCAGUGGUUGAGAAACAAACUCCUUAAAACAGCACAUCAAACAAAUGAAAUGUAUGAUAGACCACAUAGAACGUGGCAUAGUGAAGUCUAUUCAUGAGAAGUUAUAGCAUGUACCUGACAUUACUCCAUGCGUAACUGAUGUAAUAAUACCAUGCUCUACUGGCUCGCCUUCCACUUCCGGAAGAACAGAGAGAGUUGUAUUUGGAAAGACUAAAUAAGCAAAAGCCGUCAUUUUCUGUGCAUUGUAGUUCAAGUAAAAGUUUAGCCAAUACACAUAUAAGUAAUGGGAAAACAAGAUUUGUGUAAUUAAACCUUUUCUUCAAGCUUGUUUGGGUCGAGUACGACAUAUCCACUAUCAGCCAGGCAACAACAUACAGCAACUGAAAAAUAAAAAUAAAAAUGUUGAUGAAGCAAUUCGAAGAAGAAGCACACACAAAGUGAAUUAGGGAAGAGCAUAAAGUGUCAAAAGAUGUACCAGCGAGAUGCUUCAUAGGUAUUCCAGCAUCUACAAGAGCUGCACAUGCUGCGUUUAUGGCACACGGUAGAAGCUAAAACAAAACUGGAUUAAGGAAACCAAAGCUGUCUUUAAAAUCAAUGCAACAAAUAUUUAGAGAGACAAAAGCAUGUUCAUCUUAUGCAAUAUCUGAUUCAAGAUCGCAGAAUGCCAGCAGGAGAUUGUCGCGGCACGAACAAUGGUUGAGGAAGCGGAACGCUCCUUGUCCUUAGCUGAGACCGCAGCAACAGAAAGUUCAGAAAACGGAUAUUCGAUUGAUAAAGACAAGGAGAGAUUAGAAUCAGCAAAAGCGGCAGCGAUUGCAGCUGCGGUUGGGACCGUUGCAGAAGUCCCGUUUGCUCUUUCUCAAGUCUCGACCAUUGAGCAGCUUGUUCUUCCCCUUGGAGUAGCCUUUGCAAGCUGUGCACUGUUUGGUGUCACAUUCAGGUAUGUAAUCAGAAGAGACUUGGACGAUAGUCAUCUCAAAUCAGGAGCCGUUGCAGCCUUUGGAUUUGUCAAAGGUAAACACAUUUUGAUUACUGCUUCUAUCUUAACUUCAUUUUAAAUGGUCAAAACGUUUACGUUUGCGAUUGAUUUGUUAUACAUUGUGUUGGAAGUGUGAGCUGGAUGAUCCCCAUCGUUGUCCUGACUUUGGUUGAUUAAAUUAUAAUCUUCCAGUAAUGGAAUACUAAUCAGUGAUUUGAUUUAUUGUAAAUGAUUUCUUACUUAAAUAAUUGAUUGAGUUGAAUAUUAACCUCUGACCUGUAUUAUUUUGGAUCUGUCUUAAUAUUCUUAACAAAAUUAUGAUUUUUGUUUUAUAUGGUGUACCAGGACUUGGUAUGUUAAGCAGAGGACCGCCACUGGAGCUGAGCUGGGAAAGCUUGUUUUCUCAUGGAAUAGACGGCGCCGUUUUGGUGUCUCAGAGCGUCUUGAUAUUUGCGUUUGCGUCUAUAAGUUUGGACUUCUGCUUUAAAUUGAAGCUGUUAAAACCAUUUCCAAGCUCUGCUCAGAUGUAGAUGCAGCAGUUAAAAAGGUAGAAACGCAAAAAAAAAAACACUGUAUAUUUUCUUUAAAGAUUUAUGUAUUAAUUGGAUUUUAAAUGUCUUUUAUCACAUUUUCUUCAUCAGUAAUCAAUAUACAUUUUUCAGAUUUCAACGAUAUACAGCAUAUAAUGUUUAGAUUACAUCUGAUUCCCAUAAUAUUUUAUUUAGAAUAAAUAAAGAAAGAAAAAAAGUGAAUCAGAUUUUUUUACAAAACUGUUUACUUUUUAUCUUAAAAAAGAGUCACUCGUGAAGUUGAAGAGGUAGAUGGGACCAAGAUCAUUAACAGCCAUUCAUUUUUACAUAUAUACACGUGUCAUAAUCUUAAGCACUUACCAGAUUAACACUUCAGCACACAACAGCUCUUCUCUUCUGCGUUCUGUCUCUCUCUUUCGCUAUCAAUCGCGUUUGUCGUGGCGGUCAACUGAUCAGAAAUAUAGCCAGAGCCAAGUUAAAAAAAUAUAUAUAGCUGAAUUAAUUAUAAAAUUUUUAAAAAAAAAUUCAAUCAGCAUCUCAAACUUCAAUGGGGUUUCUUCGACUUGUUCUCGAGUAAAACUACUAUUCUCUCUCUCUCUCCCUCGUCUGAUUUUAUUUAUCAUUUUUUGUUGAUUUGGUGGUGGUAUUCAGGGCGGUUUUCGGUGGAAAGAGACGGAAGAAGAUGGUCAGAGGUAGUAGUAGUAGUAGUGGUGGUGCUGUUGUUCGUAGCGGUGGUGGUAGUAGUGUUAAGCAGAGAGGCUUCUCAAUGAAUCCAAAAGACUACAAACUUAUGGAAGAAGUCGGCCAUGGAGCUAGCGCCGUCGUCUAUCGAGCGAUCUAUCUCCCGACCAAUGAAGUCAUCGCUGUCAAGUGUCUGGAUCUCGAUCGAUGCAAUAGCAAUCUGGUUUGUUUGUUCUUCCUCGAUCUUUUAUUUGGUUAAAGGCCAGCCGCCCUUUGUCUUAGAUCUCUCUUUUUGUGUAGGAUGAUGUGAGGAGGGAAUCUCAGACUAUGAGUUUGAUAGACCAUCCAAACGUUAUAAAGUCGUUUUGUUCGUUUUCUGUCGACCAUAGUCUUUGGGUGGUGAUGCCAUUCAUGGCGCAAGGCUCUUGUCUGCAUCUUAUGAAGACUGCUUAUUCAGACGGGUUUGAAGAGUCGGCUAUAUGUUCUAUACUCAAAGAGACUCUUAAAGCUCUCGAUUAUCUUCAUAAACAAGGCCAUAUCCAUCGUGAUGUUAAGGUUGGUUACAAAAAGACUGAAACUUUGUAUUUUAAGUCAUCCAUAUAAUGUUUUUUUUUUUUUUUCUUCAAUCUACUAGGCAGGAAACAUACUUCUUGAUGACAAUGGUGAGAUUAAGCUUGGCGAUUUUGGUGUGUCUGCUUGCUUGUUUGAUAACGGUGAUAGGCAACGUGCAAGAAAUACAUUUGUUGGUACUCCUUGCUGGUAGGUUAUUGUGAUUCUUUUCUCUACCUUCAUAAACCAUCACUUUGUACUCAAAUCGUUUACAUUUUAAACUCUUGUUUCUUUUUUUGUAGGAUGGCACCGGAAGUCUUGCAGCCCGGAAAUGGAUAUAAUUCCAAGUGAGUUUAUAGUCUUUAAAGCUCAAAUGUAAAAAGUAGUCCACUUUGGUAUGCAUAUGUUAAGACAAUUUUGUCAAACUAGUCUGCCUCUAAUCCGAAUAUAUUCACACUGUGUGUGUGAACAAAGAAAAUGCAAUAGUAGCUUAUUUGGUCGAUUGUUCUUCUGUCACAGGGCUGAUAUCUGGUCGUUUGGUAUAACAGCGCUUGAAUUGGCCCAUGGUCAUGCACCCUUCUCAAAAUAUCCCCCCAUGAAGGUAAUCAAUACUCUCUUUGUUCCUAGAAGAUAAAUGUUUUUUUUUUUUUUCAAUUGUUUCAAAAAGAUACUCUUUCCCUUUCACAAUGUAAGUAGUUUAGACUAAAAUCACUAUUAUUAACAAAAUUGGUACUUUAAAAAAAAUAAUAUUUAAUUAAUUAGUUCAACCAAUUAUAACAAAAUAAUAUUUAAUUAAUUAGUUCAACCAAUUAUAACAAAAUUGAUAUUAUUUUAUUGGUUACACUAUAUCCCAUAAAUGUAAAAGUUAUCUAGAUAUUUGGAAAAUGCUUACAUUUUGAAACAAUAUAAUUUUCUUUAAACUAGUUAGUUACGAUAAGAAAGGGAGGGAGUAUGAUUUAGUAACAGAAAAGGGAAAAUGAUUAAGCUUGGGCCCAUUUCUAAAACCUUUUGGUCCAUAAUGAUCCAUAGGGCCUCACAUGUAAAUCUCUCUCGACCCACUGUAAUUGGUACCGGAAUCUGUCGACGUCAAGGUGCACUUUCUAGCAUAGCUUUGUACAUGGUUCGCAGGAGUUUCUUCCAUGGCGAAAAUAGCAGAAGGGUCAAGAUACCAGCUUCUCCUCUCAUGUCCUUAUGGCCUCUCUCUAUCUCAGGUUAAUCGAAUACUCUCUUAAAGUGUUAUUUUUUUAAUAGUUUUCAUUAUCAAACUGUCUUGGUUGUUUAAAUGCUAAAGGUGUCGGUGGAUUUCUCGAAAUCUCAUGAUCGGAUUCAACAUCCAGAUCACGAUCUUGAAGAUUCUAUUGCACAGGUGCGAACCAGAAACUCUGAUCGGAUCUCAUUUUGUAAUUGGCAAAGAUUACAUUUCUUGUUUAAUUAUGUGAAACCAUAAACUCUGGUCGGAUCUCAUGUCCAUGGACCAUGGGUGUGUUUGAUGUGAUGAGUUGCUCAAAUGGUAUGUGUCCUUUGCAAUUUUAGGCUUGGGAGCAGAGAACACAGGGCAAUUCGUCAUUGUUCAAUGGACAAAAAUUCAGAGUAAGCAUAUGAUGAGAAUGAUCAAGAUUCAUCGUUGUCUAUUUGGACUUUCACAUAGAUUUUUAAUUUGUUUAGUAAGUUUACUUACUCCUAGAUAAAAUUUUCAGUUUGGAUCAUUUUGUUUAGAUGGUGCUGCUGGUACCAACGAACUCCCACACGUCUGCCUUCGCCUUGGCCUGACUGAUUACAGGUUUCUCAUUUAUCUCUUUUUUCUUUCUUAUUGUUUGCAUCUGACCAGACCUCUAAUUUGAUCGAUUUCUUGGUUUCCUGGACAUGGUUUUCAAGGACUUUUGUAGGAACGAAUUUGAGCUCUCAGUGGGAGAAGUUCCUUGUUACAUCACAAGGUACACACCGAUACCUCUAAUCUCCGAGGUAGUUUUGUUCUAGUUUAACACAAUAGAUAGUUUUGUUCUCUCUCUCUUACAGAUGACUGUGUAAGAUGUCGACAUACAUCAAGUCCAUUGGGUAAUGCUGCGGUUAUCGAGACUUCUGACCAGAAGAUUAUUGUGUUACGCCGGAGUGAUAAUGUCGGGGAAUUUCCAGGUCACUACGUGUUUCCUGGUGGCCAUCCAGAGGUAUAUGCAACUACAUAAGGCAUCAUAUUGUCUCAGUUUCUAACUCUUUUUGACUUCUAAACUUUGCAGCCGAUGUCAGUAGGAAUUGAUUCUCAUCAGCUUGAAAAAGAUGGAGAGGGUUUAAACAAGAAGGUGACUCAAGAAAUGUUUGACAGCAUUACUCGUGAAGUUGUGGAAGAAACUGGGAUACCAGCAUCAUCCCUUGUAAGCUACAAGGAUUUGUUUUUGUGUCGUCUCUCCUUGAGGAAUAUUUGGAAUGCUACCUGAUCCAUCUUUUAUACAAUUUUCAGAGCUCUCCUCUCUUUAUUGGAAUCUCUCGGAGGGAGUUGAAUGUGAGACCAGCAAUGUUUUUCUUCAUCAAGUGUAGUCACCAUUCAGAUGACAUUCCGAGACUAUAUUCUAGUGCUGAAGAUGCGUUUGAGUCAACACAGCUCCACACUGUCUCUUUGGUUAGUUGAACUUCUUCAAUCCAUUAAACAUACAUUCUAGAAAGAAAGAAAACAAUCGUUUUUACUUUCUAGAAGUGCUUUGAUCCGAUCAGCAAUGACUGUAAUUUCUCUUUGUGCUGAUCAAUCAGGAGGUGCUGAAGACAAUGACAUCAAGAAUGCCAGGUUGCCACCAUGGUGGCUUUGCACUCUAUGAACUGUUGCUUCAACGUCUCAAGAGCACUAAUGGAACGCCUUUAACAUCGACCUAAGAGGAACGAACUUGAACUUACGAUUUUGUAUGUUGGAUAAGUGAACUCAGUUGCUCAUUAGCAAUUUGACAAUGUACUAAUGGUAUUAAGCGCCGGG
rnacentral:lncRNA from 1 species